CCUACGGGAGGCAGCAGUGGGGAAUAUUGCACAAUGGGGGAAACCCUGAUGCAGCGACGCCGCGUGAGUGAAGAAGUAUUUCGGUAUGUAAAGCUCUAUCAGCAGGGAAGAAAAUGACGGUACCUGAUUAAGAAGCACCGUGUAACUACGUGACAGCAGCGGAGUUAAUACGGAGGGGGCCAGCGUGAUCCGGAUUUACUGGGGUGAAAGGGAGGGUAGAGGGCAGCACAAGGCUGGAGUGAAAUGCGUGGGGUUAACCCCGGGACCGCUUUUGAAACUGUGCAGCUAGAGUGCAGGAGAGGUGAGUGGAAUUCCUAGUGUAGCGGUGAAAUGCGUAGAUAUUAGGAGGAACACCAGUGGCGAAGGCGGCUUCCUGGACUGUAACUGACGUUGAGGCUCGAAAGCGUGGGGAGCAAACAGGAUUAGAUACCCUUGUAGUC
rnacentral:rRNA from 1 species